CACCACAAGAGAACCUUCUCAGAACUUUCCUCCUCUCUCAACCACCGAAGAAAACUCUAGAUCAUUCCUUCUCAAGACUCAAACUCCUCUCGUGGCCCAUAAACUCCAUGGGUUCAAAUUGCUAUAAAGAGAGAAAAGAAAGCAAAGUCAACUGGGGUUAUUCAAGCAAUUUGCAAUUGCAGGACAUGAAAUACGAACUCUCUUCUGCUGCCGACUCGGUACCAGAGGCCUUCAAAAAUGAUGAAAGUGGUUUCUUGGAGCGUACUAAGGAAAACAGGGGAUGGGGAAACGGAUUGAAGCAUGGAGUACGUGUCCUCUGGCUGAUGAAUAGGACUUGGAAAGACUUCCGGUAUUGAAUCUUUUAUGAAAACCACGAACUAGAAAGUCUCAUAGAAGAGAGAUCCUAUUGCUCAAUUAUGAUGGAGAGACUGCUAAGAUGAACAAAUUGAUCAUGUUUUACAAUUUCAGUAGGUUCGUUUGAAGAAGAGAUCAGAGAGUCGUGAACUUGAAUCUGAUGGCAACAAUGGUUCAAAAUGCUGAUGAUAAUAUUUAUCCCAGAAAUGUGCUACCAACUUUGACAUUCACACUUUAGGAAAAGGGCAUUGUUGCACUCUGUGAUGUUGAAAAUUCUACAGGGAAAACAUAUUUGGGAUAUAUUGGAAAGGAAAGCAUUAGCCUCAAAUCUGUAUUUUGGCAACUUGAGGGUAUCAUGCUCCAAAGCUAUGUGGAUAUUUUUUUCUCUCAAGUAAGUUAUGUAGGAACACCUAACGAUUCUUUUAAUUACUACUUUGUCAUCUAAUUCCACAUAAAUGUUUCUGUACAGAAGAAAUUCUAUUGGGUGAAAGCCCAAUAAAGAAUUAUUUCGUUGCGUUAGAGACUUUGUUACAUGUCUGUGAUAAUUACAAGAAAACAUCCCUUGCAGACUCGGGGAGAAAUUCUCAAAUGUUGCUUCAGCAAGUAUGAACAUGCAAAGGCAGUGUCAAAGUAGCUUGCACCUCUAAACAUACAUUUAACUAUUUACCUAUGCUUUUGUGCGCCUUCAAAGACAAACCUGGAUGAUCAGAUAACUUCUAUCUGAAUAAAUAUUAAUUACUGUAUCUUGAUGCAUGAUCAACUUUAGAAGAGAAUUAUUCAACUUCUUUAUCAGGCAUAUCAAAUGCUUUGCCAAA